rnacentral:rRNA from 1 species
GAUGAACGCUGGCGGCGUGCUUAACACAUGCAAGUCGAACGGAAAGGCUCCUGGUUGCCGGGGUACUCGAUUGGCGAACGGGUGAGUAACACGUGGGUGAUCUGCCCUGCACUUCGGGAUAAACCUGGGAAACUGGGGCUAAUACAGGAUAGGACGAUGGUUUGGAUGCCAUUGUGGAAAGAUUUUCGGUGUGGGAUGGGCUCGCGGCCUAUCCGCUAGUUGGUCGGGUAAUGGCCUACCAAGGCGUCGACGGGUAGCCGGCCUGAGAGGGUGUACGGCCACAUUGGGCCUGCGGUACGGCCCAGACGGCUACGGGAGGCAGCAGUGGGGAAUAUUGCGCAAUGGGCGCGAGCCUGAUGCAGCGGCGUCGCGUGGGGGAUGACGGCCUUCUGGUUGUAAACGACUUUCGCUGGAGACGAAGCCGAAUUGACGGUACCUGGAGAGAAAGCACCGGCUAACUACGUG